ensembl:lncRNA
UGCUGUACACAAUGAAGUUUUUAUUUGACACAAUAACUCCACGUACCGCACGCCCUGUACAACACAAAUAUACAGAACAAGAAAGAACAAAAAGUGAGAAAAGGACAAACGGUUAGAAAACGGUUUGAUAACCAAAGCAAUUGGACAUUUCUGAGAACGUGAUUGCAAAGCGCGAACAAUCGUCUCCCCAUACAGUUGCCAGUAUGCAAGUUGUUUAAAAUAUACAUUGUCUUGAUUGUUACUGGUGAUUAUUUGCACUUGAAGCAAUAAGUCAGCUCACAGUAAAACAAUGAUCAUAUUAUAAGACAAUAUUAUGAUAGUUGAAUCAUAUGAAUCAAUAAGAUACCACUCUAAUUAAAGCUGAAAAUGAUACUCCAAAAUGACCCAUUAUUUACAUGGAUUUUUGACUGGCCAAUAUUUGGCUGCUUUGAAUUAACAUAAAAGACAAUUCAUUAUAUUCUUAUAUCGGCAAAAGUGAUGCUGCCUUUUUUUUCACAGCAACUAACCUUGCAGUCACGCACUUUAGAUUAUUAAAGAUCACCAGAAGACAAAACAAAAUGGCAAAGUAACAGCAUAAACCAAAUAAAGUAUAUAAGCAGAGUUGUGAUGCGUAAUCAUUUUCAUAUAACAGUGCGUAGAAUAUUGAUUAUAUCAAGGCUGUAACCCCUUUAAAAAAAUGAAGGCACAGUCCCCAAAUUAAACUGUAUAGUUUAAUGGUAUACUGUAUAGUUACUAUAACAUGAUGUGUUCUGAGCUAGAAACUAGCGUUUAAAAAAAAAAACAGGAUCUAACUGUAGCCAUUGCACACUUUCAAUGCACCUUUCAAAAAACACAUUUACCCAGUACUGUAUCUUUUCGCAGCCUAACGCUAAUUUCAGACGACCUGCUCUUCAAGCAACUGACGGACACCUUGUUCAGAGAGCACCAUCACUGCUUAAAUCUUAAACGAUAUAUACAUAUAUAUACACACACACACGCAUACAAUUCUCAAAUCACAAUUAAUAAAGACAUUUUCCACAGCAGCGAUGCGCAGAGAGUAUAUAUUAGUUUCACUAUCCUCCAUCAGUGUAAAUGUCCCCCAACGCGAGGCUUUAGCCCCACGUUUCCCAUCGUGAGUGCGACCCGCUAGCCAAUGAAAACAACCUCCUGAUUCGCUGACUCUAACGUUCCAGCCAAGAGUUGACCACAUAAAUCAGUGUUAACCUGCCGCCCUGAAGUGAUUUGCAAAGCGUCACAAUGAUAACGCACGCACGAUAAACGGCCGGGGUUGCCCAAAGCCGCCUACUUGAAUGCUAUGCAGUGUGGGAAAAAAACAAAAAACUUUGAGUGUCACUGUAAGAUCGUUGCCCCCAAGGUACAAGUGUCAACUUUUUUUUUUUCGGGAGCCGGUCAUCAGAACUGGCACCCAACCGAUGGCGGCGGCCAUUUUCUUCCCGCUCAUGUACGGAGACCGACCCUUUGAGCGGUAGGGUCGGGGUGCGUGGCCGUCUGCUAGUAGAAGAUGGGCGCAGAACGGUCCUCCAUAAAGGUAGGCCUGAGGUAGACCUCCAGAGAGCGGUCGCUGUUGGGAAGGGGCGGCAGUGAACAGCGACAGUUAGGGUGCAGGUGAACACACGGCAAGGUGCACAAACAGAACAGAACAGACAUGAACGCACCACUUCAAACCACGACGCACCCCGCCUCCCCGCGCCCAGUGAUGUACAGCAAGCGUGCGAUGGUACCGACGACUGUGUUAAUGACCACGACACAAAUCAAAGUUGUUCGGAAAAAAUGAAUGCCAUGCAAGUGUUAGUGUCCUUUUCUGAGUGAUACCAUGUUUUAUAUCAAGAAAAGCGGGAACCAUCGUUUACAACCCAGGGCCUCCGGUGCCGAGAGGCACUGCUGCCUGGUCGAGGACUGAGGCCCGGGGACAGGAAGGAUGGAAGGAUUCUCAGCAGCACCCUGCUGACAGCCAGACAGCCAGUGAGCAGAGAGAGGAGGAGAGCGAGGAGGAGAGCCAGGAGAAGGAAACACGAGAGAGGAGGAGAGAGGAUGCAGAGGGAGGGAAAGGCAGGAGAGGAAGAAAGAGAGACACCAGAGAGGAAGAAAGAGAGACACCAGAGAGGGGGAGAGAGGAUGCAGAGAGUGAAAGGCCGGAGAGGAAGAAGGAGAGACACCAGAGAGGAUGCAGAGAGAGAGAAACAAACAACAGAGAGGAGGGGGAAAGAGAGAGAGAGAGA